CCUUUGACCAGCACUGAUCCUGUCUUCUGCUGUUCCUGAUGGGAUUCCUUGGAUAGGGUCCUGCACUGACACAUCACCUCACCUUGUCUGGCUGUCACUGAACUGCCACUGCUCUGCCCUGCUCAAGCACUGCGGGGCUGUGCUUUGCUGAUGAAGGUGCUGUCCCACCUGUGUUGUGGCCACCCUCAGCUCCUUGCCCUCUCCUGCUGCUCCUGCACAGGUGUCCUGCUGGUACUCUCAGAUGUGUCCUGUCUCGUCAACUCCAUGUCAAUAAAAGACAGUCAGUUCUCUGGUCCUUGUCAGGAGAAAUGGCUAAGUGUUGCUGUGAUCCCUCUGGAGAGACAAGGUGGUCAUCAUGCCUAUAACCUUCAGGGAGAUGCUGGAACCCAGAUAAGCUUGCUUUAGGGUCACUGUACUCACCAAAUACAUUGUAUGCUUCCUUACAUUACAGGCGGGGAUCUCACAGGAUUGCAGGUUGUUAUCAUCUUCUAUACUGCCACAUGCUUGCUUGGCAAGAACCAGGAAGGGCUACAUUUAUGAAACAGAAGUCGUCUGCUUAGGAACGAAGAUGUCUCCUUACUAUGAUACUGCAGCCAGCAUUAAACUAUAUGCAUGUAGACUGACAUACAAGUUUCCCCAGUUCUUUGUUCCCAUUUUAAGAUUGUUACAUUGACUGCUUCAAGGCUACACCAGAACACCAGUCAUUUGUUGGAUCCUCAAAUGUUAACAAGGCCCAAGGAACUAUGAGCCCUGAGCCUCAAACUAAUACAGGCACAGGUUUCAAAGGCUGGAGCCUUCACUUUGUUUAGCAGUUAUUUUGUCAGUGCCAAGCAGGUAUGUGUGUAAAUCCCUCCUGCUGGAGAUAAUGUCUUUGAUCCCUGGUAUCUAAACUACCCACCUGUGGAAGGAGUCAGCAUCCCAGGUCUGUGUAAUAGUGAAUCACUGUUGCUCAUUCCUUCCUUGCUCCCUGGACCCUCUCCAAGUUGGACCACUGGUUUUGGUGUAUUUCCAGACAGAAACAUGAUGUUGGCAGCUUCUUGAAGACAUCCUGGGCUCCAGAAACUGAAAUCCUCAGCCUUUGCCCCCAGAGACAGCCCCUGAGGAUGAAUACCCUGGCAUGUUUUAUAUAACAGGAUCAGAAGAGGAACUUGCUGAUUAACAUGUCACAGAGAUGUGCCCUGAAACCUCGUGGUCCCUUACCUGACCACAAAUACUGCCCUUUUUGCCCAGCUGUAGGAAGCUUCAUGCUUGGCUUUCCUUACUUACCCUUCUGACAUGUUGUGCUUGGAUGAGCAGCACCUCUGAAAGCUAGCAGGGCAUUCUCUACAUAUGGCUCACCUCUUCCAGGCUGGGAAGAAAGAAAUGUCUGUCCUGGCUGGUGUGACUUCAAGGUGACAAUCCACACUCAUGGAGCUGUCCUGCUUUGACAAGCACCAUCCCGGGGUGCAUGAUCCAAGGAGCCAGUUGAGUCUCUCAUACAGGUCGGUGCCAUUGUUCAGGCAUUCAGCACACUCCUUCCAACUGCUUAGCAAAAUAAAUGUGUUCAGAGGUGUAAAUAAUUUUGACAAUUUAAGUGUUGUGUUAAUACACUGAUCAAAAUGCUGAGAAUUUUUAGGUCAGGGCGCAUCUGUUCAUCACAGCAAUCUUGUUAAGAGGUAAACCCUCAUAGCCUGUGAGAUACUGAGGAAACAUUGCAGGAUUUCUGUUUGGCUGGAUUUUUUUUUUUUCCCAGUAUCAACUUGUGCUGGAUCUUCACCACAGAAAGACUCCUGUCAGGGUCUUGAACACUAAUCAGAGAGACCUCAGCAGAAGCAGCAUUAAACCAAAUGGGACCUAAAAGGCCAGAAGUGUCUCUGCACUGCUUCCCAGCAUCAGCACUGAUGAAUGGCCAAGGCUAAUAACCAUUAAUCAACCCUACUAAAUGAAUUCAAGGAGUUUAGACAAAGCUAAAAGGAGCAGAGCCACGGGGCCAACGUGUAGAGCUGCUGUCAUUCAUGCGAGGUUUGGGUCAGUUUCCUGCCUGUGCCACUGAUUCAUUAGCUAAAUCUGGGCACCUCUGAGGCUAACAGGAGGUUUCCUGUUGUCUGCCAGGAGCUUAGCUUUGAGCUUUUAUUCUCUCCUCUUCCCUGCUUCUGAAAUAAGGGUAGUGCUGCUCACCAGGGAUGCUCUCUUCAGGCUUGCACUACCUAGGGUGUAACAAAAAGCCAGAUCUCCUGUGGCCAUUAAACUUCUUGGGACAUUAGCCCCACCGUCUGGGUACAAUGUGUCUUGCUCACCAUGAAAUUUCUUUGGGAAUAAACCCUUUUGAGUCGAUGCACUUCAGUCCUAACAAAGCAGUACAAUUUGCAUUACACAUCCGUUGUUUUAGAAAACAAUGGAUGAAAUCUGGAGCUCUACACUUGGUUUUCACUCAGUCUGUCUUCUGUGGGAAUAUUGCCAGCCAAAGAACUGACUGAAGAAGCCCUGGUAUUAACACUGUGUUUCCAGUGUUAUUUGUCUGAGUAAUAUACUUCAGAGUAUAUUUAUUAACCUGAGGUAAAGCCCAGGGAAAUCUGUUGAAGUCUUUGCAUUGACCACAAGUAGCUUUUAGAUCACAUCCAAAAAUAAGGAAAUAUGCAGGUUCUUGAAAAUCCAGGCAUGUAGGCAAGAGGGAUAAUCUAUUCCCUUUUGGGGGCUUGGGGGAAUGGAGGCUGAGAGGUGAAACUGUCUGUCUGGUGCUGCUUGGAUAAUCUGAGAUUGACGCUAGGUAAAUAAGUAUGUUUUAGGAAGUACUGGCUAUGGGAUGAGGAUGUUCAGUUGACGUGAAAUGGACUAAACUUUAAAGAGCAAAUUAAAGACACUUCAAGAAACUUCAAUUAAAAAAAAAUAAUCCCAAAGCUUCACAUGGUUUUGGUAUAGCAUGAAUUAAGGACCAACUUCUUUUAAUUGAAUCCAAAAAGCUCCCUUGACUAUUCUCUCUUCCAUUUCUACCUUCCCCCUCCUUUGGUGUCUGUAGCUGUUAUGUUUUAUUUACAGAUAAUUGGAAACAGAAUAUAAACUCUUUCAAUAAGCCCAACUGGAACUCCAAAGAAAUCAGCUAUUAAUGAGUUUACUUAAAGCAAUCAUGCUUAAAGGCAGUAAUGAUGGAUGGAUGGGGCAGCAGCAGGCAUGUUCUGGCAGAAGGGAUGAAAAUCCACAGCUUCUCCUGGCUUAGGGAAAAGCUUGAUCUCAACCCAAAACCUAGCAACCAACUUCCUCAGGUGAUGCCUUUUCUGCAUUGAAUUGAUCUGGCUUUAAUCGCAGCUCUCAAAACUGACUUUCAAAUAGCUGAAAAUCUAGAUCAUUUGAAUUAUGGAGUGUGGUUCCUCUUUUUGUAAUUGGCAUAUAGCUUAACCAGUGGUCAAGAUGGGUCAGAAUAUGCCAGAGGAGAACACAGGGCUCUGCUCAGAAUACUAAAAUCAGAGCAGGUUUUGAACAAGGAGCUGUUCAGUUCUCUCUCUGAUAAUUUCUUCUCUGUUGCUGCAUUCCCUGUCCCAGGAGCUUAUCCAUGCUAACUGAUGGCUAGUUCUUGUCUUCUCCCCAUGGCCAAAUCCUGGAGUCCCAUUUCUUGACUGUUUGUAAUUCUAGCAGCACAUGACUGACAAAGAAAGGACUCUCCAUUUCCAUUUUGACUUUCUCCUUUUUAUUCUACAUAGACAUAAACACAUUUGUUUUGUUUUUUUGUCACUUUUCUUCCUCUUUCUUUACUAGCAAAUAUUAAGUUUGAGCUGAAGUACAUAUGGCACAUUUGAUAAAGAUGUUCUAAGUGGACAAAUCACUUCCAACUAUUUUCCACUCGCAAGGAGCAAAGGCAGUCUCCUGCCUGUAUUCUUAACAAAUCUCUCCUUGCUUUUAUUGGCAAUGCUUCUGUUUUUGGCAGCAACCUGUCAAGUUUGGAGCUGGCAAUAAUGUUUUUUUAGCAUUCUCAGCUCAAAUGCAGGCAACAUGUUUUCUACAAAAACACCCUUCCUACUCUUCGUUAGUGCUUCCAACAUUAUUGUUCCUGGUACAGAAAGCAAACACUAGUAGCUUCCCCUCUCCCAUCACUGUAACCUGGGCUAAACAGGGUUGAAGUGACAAAGUUUUCAGUUAGGAAAAAAUAUUCAGUGAAGUAACAAAAAGAAAAGGCCCCUGUAGAAAGCCCAGAAUGUAGUCAGACACACAAGUGGCUGUCAAGGUUAAGAGUUGUAAACUGGCUUUGAAUUAGCUGGUUGGUCCACACUGUGCCAUGUGGAGAUACUUGAAUCAGAGUACUAGAAAUGCUAUGGUGUGUUAGCAUCACUGCACCGUGCUCCAUUAUUGUCCCAUGAGUCUUUUUCAGCUCAAAAAAAUUAAAUAAAAUAAAUCCUUAGAAACACAUUACACAGGAAGCAAAACAAGACAAGCCCAAUAAAUCGGGUUGUUUUUUCUACUCAGUAUAGAAGACAUGCAAAAUGCAUCUGAAUCAUCAAAUGAAUCAGGAUCCUCUUUCCUUGAGCAAUGAGUUUGUCCUUACAAUCCCUGUUUAAAACCCUUCUGGCUUCCUGUGCAUUUCACAAAUUAUUUAAAAUCCACAUCCCUGUAGAGACCUUACUUUAGGCUCCUAGAUCUCUGUUGUCCUACUGCCUGCCCUCCCUGGGUUUCCUGUCGUUGGUCCCCCUUGUGCAGGAAGGGUACCAGCUCAGGCCGUGCUGUGCUCUGGUCCUUCCUCACCAAAUAUCCUGUCUCUUUCUCUGUUCGCUGCAUUCUCACUUUGCAACAAGAUCAGGGAUAGUGCAGCUUCACAGCUGCACAUGGAAAAAGACUUCUUAGCAUUUCCUUCUAGCACUGUUGCUGACUCCUUCAGUUAUCUCAUAAAGCUUAGGAAAUCAGUUUAGCCUGUGGCCUCCAUUUCCCUAAACCUCCUAUCCUGAUUCCCGAAUUCUUGCUCCAUCCUUAGGAGAUCAGGUAAUCUAGGAUGGGAUUCAGUUUCUGAUAACCAUACAUACGGAUCUUAAAAAUAAACUAUGAGGCAAUGAGGAAGUUAAUCUCUGCUGAGAAGUUUGGAGACCUUUCUGUAGCCCGCCCUGGGGUUAGGAUGAAUAUCCCAGCCCCAAUAGAGAGUAACACAGCUCUUCACACUUGUCUUUCCUUUAUCCAUUCUAAUGGAGCCUCUGUCCCCUCAACACAAUUCACUUCGGUGACUGCAAUCAUUAAAGGCAUUGGAAAUAGGGUCUGAGACUUAUGCAAAGUCCUGCCUCAGGUGUCAUGACCAAUGAACCGAUCACAGAUGCCAACUCCUCUUAGAAUGUCAUCCCUGACUUUGUACCCGAUGGCAGAUCUGUCACUCACUAGCCAAACAUGUCCAUACAGCUGAAGCCUUUAGGUGCACUUGUACCCUCAAAACUCAAUGGAGUUGCUGUCAUCCUCCAACUGUUCAGUGGCCUAGAUGAAAUUAGUCAGAAGUCUAAGUGCGGCUGCUAAUAAAGAUACUGUCUUUCCACCUCAGAAAAAGCACCAGCUCCUUUUGCUACCAGAUGUCCUCUUUGGCAGUUUGAGUCAACGAGGAGCGAAGUGAUGAAGAAUGAAUGCAGUCUUCAAGUGGAGGCCUCAGGCCCCAAGUGGCAGCGGUGGAGACAGCAGAAGGGAAGUUCUCUAUUGCUGCUGCCUGCUGGGGCUUAGAGUUGAUGUCAGUUCCUACUUACGUUGCUUGUCACCAGAAUCCACCAGAGACACUUGUGUGAACAUUCUCAUGUUCAGCAAACUUCCCCUGUUGUUUCCACACAGGUCUCCUGGAGUGCUGCUUGCAACCUUCACUGAGGGGUCUGUGGGUAUGAAGGCUAUGC